rnacentral:rRNA from 1 species
AACGAACGCUGGCGGCGCGUCUUAAGCAUGCAAGUCGAACGGCAAGAGAGGAGCUUGCUUCUCUCCUAGAGUGGCGGACUGGUGAGGAACACGUGGGUAAUCUACCCUUAAGAUGGGGAUAGCUGCUAGAAAUAGCAGGUAAUACCGAGUACACUCGGCAUAUCACAAGAGGUGUUGAGGAAAGGAAGCUACGGCUUCGCUUGAGGAUGAGCUUGCGUCCCAUUAGCUAGUUGGUGAGGUAAAGGCCCACCAAGGCGACGAUGGGUAUCCGGCCUGAGAGGGUGAACGGACACAUUGGGACUGGGAUACGGCCCAAACUCCUACGGGAGGCAGCAGCUAAGAAUAUUCCGCAAUGGACGGAAGUCUGACGGAGCGACGCCGCGUGGAUGAAGAAGGCUGAAAAGUUGUAAAAUCCUUUUGUUGAUGAAGAAUAAGGGUGAGAGGGAAUGCUCAUCUGAUGACGGUAAUCGACGAAUAAGCCCCGGCUAAUUACGUG